AGCUAUCAAUUAUCAAAGGAGUUUCUCUAGUGGACUACUCAGACAGUGAGGAUACUGACAAUGAUUCCCAAAAGGACUGCUCUCUACCUCUGCAAAAGGAUUUCAAAAGAAAAUCAAUAAUGAUGAAUAAAGUUCCAAGUUUUUCUGAUGCUAUCUACAAUUCCAGCAAUGACUGUGUGGAAUACCCUUCAACCUCACUGUCAAUGGAUUCACAAAGGCCUAUAAGAGGAACUUCCUUCUCUGUAAGCCUCAUGAAUCACUGUCAUUUAAAAGAGUAAUGCCAGAGUAUACUUUUGAUUCGAUUGCUUUUAAUGAAGGGCUAGUGUUCAUGUUUUACUAAUUCAUUUAACACUCUUUUUCAGUUGACACAUUUUUUUGUUCAUUGGCCUAAAUUUUUCCAUAUAUAUUUUUUUAUUUUUCUAGAUAUUCUCCUUAACAUUGCAUUUUACUGUAUCUGUUUGGAUCUAAAUUUGACCAAGCACUCUUAUACAGAUGGGCUGAUGCCAGAAGUCAUGGAAGUGACCUCUUGUACCUCCACAUCUCGUGGCCCAAGUAAUGAAAAGUCUGCCAAAAAGAGAGGUGAGUUUGGAGUAAUCCUUUUCAAUAUAUAACUAUCACGGUUGCUUUUAAAUUGUCCAAUUGUUACUACUGUAUCAGUAUCUAAUUAUCCUCACAUAUGCUGCUUACUAAGAUUUAGAUGACCCAAGCAAGAUAUAUUAAACACCACUUGACUUUUUUUCUUAGACAUGUAAGGUCUAAACUUAUGAAUUUUGUGAUAAAAUGAAAAUUAACCCAUCCCUUCUCAUGUGAGUUACAGGUCAUUGCUAACCUUGAUUAUAUGUGAGAUGUUUGUUUACAUCUAUUUUUAAAUAGGGGUAAUGUACAUGACACAUCAACCUCAAAAGAGAGAAAAAAG